ACGGAGGCGCCCAAAGGUUCCCUCAGAAUGGAUGGAAAUCAUUCGCAGAGUGUAAAGGCACAAGGGAGCUUGACUGCGAGACUGACCAGUAGAGCAGGGACGGAAGGCGGGCUUAGUGAUCCGGGGGUUCCGGAUGGCAGGGCCAUCGCACAACGCAUAAAAGCUACCCCGGGGAUAACAGGCUUAUCUCCCCCAAGAGUCCACAUCGACGGGGAGGUUUGGCACCUCGAUGUC
rnacentral:rRNA from 1 species